rnacentral:rRNA from 1 species
CAAUAGCGUAUAUUAAAGUUGUUGCAGUUAAAAAGCUCGUAGUUGGAUUUCUGGUGGGAGCGAUCGGUCUGGCGCUUAGCGCGAGUACUUGCAUCGUCUCCGGCCAUCCUUGGGGAGAGUCUGUCUGGCAUUAAGUUGUCGGGCAGAGGAUCCUCAUCGUUUACUGUGAAAAAAGUAGAGUGUUCAAAGCAGGCUUAUGCCGUUGAAUAUAUUAGCAUGGAAUAAUAAGAUAGGACUUUGGUACUAUUUUGUUGGUUUGCGCACCAAAGUAAUGAUUAAUAGGGACAGUUGGGGGUAUUCGUAUUCCGUUGUCAGAGGUGAAAUUCUUGGAUUUACGGAAGACGAACUACUGCGAAAGCAUUUACCAAGGAUGUUUUCAUUAA